CCUACGGGAGGCAGCAGUGAGGAAUAUUGGGCAAUGCCCGAAAGGGUGACCCAGCAACGCCGCGUGGAGGAUGAAGUCCUUCUGGACGUAAACUCCUUUUAGAGGGGACGAAAAGCCCGAUUUGUCGGGAAUUGACGGUACCCUCAGAAAAAGCACCGGCUAACUACGUGCCAGCAGCCGCGGUAAUACGUAGGGUGCAAGCGUUGUCCGGAUUCACUGGGUGUAAAGGGUGCGCAGGCGGGCUCUUAAGUCAAAGGUGAAAUCUCUCGGCUUAACCGAGAAAUUGCCUUUGAUACUGAGAGCCUGGAGUACGGGAGAGGGAGAGGGAAUUCCAGGUGUAGCGGUGAAAUGCGUAGAUAUCGGGAGGAACACCGGAGGCGAAGGCGGUCUCCGGGCCCGUUACUGACGCGGAGACACGAAAGCUAGGGGAGCGAACGGGAUUAGAUCCCCGGGUAGU
rnacentral:rRNA from 1 species